rnacentral:lncRNA from 1 species
UGUUGGGGAACGUUGCAGAAAAUUAAAAAUUUUUCUACGGUUUCACCAAGAUCCAUCUAUGAGUUCAUCUAAGCAACGAGUAACGGGAGAGAGUUUGCAUCUACAUACCACUUGUAGAUCGCGUGCGGAAGCUUGCAAGGUGAUGAUGUAGUCGUACUCGACGUGAUUCAAAUCACCGAUGACCAAGCGCUAAACGGACAACACCUCCGCGUUCAACACACGUACGGUACGGGUGAUGUCUCCUCCAUCUUGAUCCAGCAAGGAGGAAGGAGAGGUUGAGGAAGACAGCUCCACCGGCAGCACGACGGCGUGGUGAUGGUGGAGAAGCAGUACUCCGACAGGGCUUCGCCGAGCACACAACGGAGGAGGAGAGGUGUUGGGGAGGGGAGGGCUGCGCCUUGGCUUGUGGUGCGGCUGCCCGCCCCUCACCCCUCUAUUUAUAGGGGGAAGGGAGAAGGGGGCCGGCCCCUCUAGAUCCAUCUAGAGGGGGGGCGGCGGCCAAGGGGAGGGGGGACUUGCGCCCCAAGCAAGGGGGGGCGCCCCCUCUAGGGUUCCCCCCUCAACCCUAGGCGCAAGGGCCCAGGGGAGGGGGUGCGCCAAGCCCACCAGGGGCUGGCCAACUCCCCACGCAGCCCAAGUGGCCCCCCGGGAGGGGUGGCCCCUCCCGGUGGACCCCCGGAGCCCUUCCGGUGGCCCCGGUACAAUACCGGUAUGCCCCCGAAACUUUCCGGUGUCCUUUUAACAGCUUCCCAUAUAUAAACUUUACCUCCGGACCCUUCCGGAACUCCUCGUGACGUCCGGGAUCUCACCCGGGACUCCGAACAACAUUCGGUAGUCACAUACUAGUCUUCCUAAUAACCCUAGCGUCACCGAACCUUAAGUGUGUAGACCCUACGGGUUCGGGAGACACGCAGACAUGACCGAGACGACUCUCGGGCAAUAACCAAUAGCGGGGUCUGGAUACCCAUGUUGGCUCCCACAUGCUCCUCGAUGAUCUCAUCGGUUGAACCACGAUGUCGAGGAUUCGAUCAAACCCUGUAUGCAAUUCCCUUUGUCAAUCGGUACGUUACUUGCCCGAGACUCGAUCGUCGGUAUCCCAAUACCUUGUUCAGUCUCGUUACCGGCAAGUCACUUUACUCGUACCGUAAUGCAUGAUCCCAUGGCCAACACCUUGGUCACCUUGAGCUCAUUAUGAUGAUGCAUUACUGAGUGGGCCCAGAGAUACCUCUCCGUCAUACGGAGUGACAAAUCCCAGUCUCGAUCCAUGUCAACCCAACAGAUACUUUCGGAGAUACCUGUAAUGCACCUUUAUAGUCACCUAGUUACGUUGUGACGUUUGAUACACCCAAGGCACUCCUACGGUAUCCGGGAGUUACACGAUGUCAUGGUCGAAGGAAGAGAUACUUGACAUUGGCAAAGCUCUAGCAAACGAACUACACAAUCUUUUAUGCUAUGCUUAGGAUUGGGUCUUGUCCAUCACAUCAUUCUCCUAAUGAUGUGAUCCCGUUAUCAACGACGUCCAAUGUCCAUAGUCAGGAAACCAUGGCUAUCUGUUGAUCACAACGAGCUAGUCAACUAGAGGCUCACUAGGGACAUAUUGUGGUCUAUGUGUUCACACGUGUAUUACGAUUUCCGGAUAAUACAGUUAUAGCAUGAACAAAAUACAAUUAUCAUGAACAAUGAAAUAUAAUAAUACUUUUAUUAUUGCCUCUAGGGCAUAUUUCCAACAGUCUCCCACUUGCACUAGAGUCACCAAUCUAGUUACAUUAUGAUGAAUCGAACACCCAUAGAGUUCUGGUGUUGAUCAUGUUUUGCACGCGAGAGAGGUUUAGUCAACGGAUCUGCGACAUUCAGAUCCGUGUGCACUUUGCAAAUCUCUAUGUCUCCAUCUUGAACAUUUUCACGGAUGGAGUUGAAACGACGCUUGAUGUGCCUGGUCUUCUUGUGAAACCUGGGCUCCUUGGCAAGGGCAAUAGCUCCAGUGUUGUCACAGAAGAGUUUGAUCGGCCCCGACGCAUUGGGUAUGACUCCUAGGUCGGUGAUGAACUCCUUCACCCAAAUCGCUUCAUGCGCUGCCUCCGAGGCUGCCAUGUACUCCGCUUCACACGUAGAUCCCGCCACGACGCUCUGCUUGCAGCUGCACCAGCUUACUGCUCCACCAUUCAACAUAUACACGUAUCCGGUUUGUGACUUAGAGUCAUCCAGAUCUGAGUCGAAGCUAGCGUCGACGUAACCCUUUACGACGAGCUCUUCGUCUCCUCCAUAAACGAGAAACAUGUCCUUUGUCCUUUUCAGGCACUUCAGGAUAUUCUUGACCGCUGUCCAGGGUUCCUUGCCGGGAUUACUUUGGUAUCUUGCAACCAAACUUACGGCAAGGUUUACAUCGGGUCUGGUACACAGCAUGGCAUACAUAAUAGAUCCUAUGGCUGAAGCAUAGGGGAUAACACUCAUCUCUUCUUUAUCUUUUGCCGUGGUCGGUGACUCAGCUGAGCUCAAUCUCACACCUUGUAACAUAGGCAAGAACCCCUUCUUGGACUGAUCCAUUUUGAACCUCUUCAAAAUCUUAUCAAGGUAUGUGCUUUGUGAAAGACCUAUGAGGCGUCUCGAUCUAUCUCUAUAGAUCUUGAUGCCUAAUAUAUAAGCAGCUUCUCCAAGGUCCUUCAUUGAAAAACACUUAUUCAAGUAGGCCUUAAUGCUGUCCAGAAGUUUUGUAUCAUUUCCCAUCAAGAGUAUGUCAUCUACAUAUAGUAUGAGAAAUGCUAAAGAGCUCCCACUCACUUUCUUGUAAACGCAGGCUUCUCCAUAAGUCUGCAUAAACCCAAACGCUUUGAUCAUCUCAUCAAAGCGAAUGUUCCAACUCCGAGAUGCCUGCACCAGCCCAUAAAUGGAUCGCUAGAGCUUGCAUACUUUGUUAGCGUUCUUAGGAUCGACAAAACCUUCUGGCUGCAUCAUAUACAGUUCUUCCUUAAGAUGCCCGUGAAGGAAUGCCGUUUUGACGUCCAUCUGCCAUAUCUCAUAAUCAUAGUAUGCGGCAAUUGCUAACAUGAUUCGGACGGACUUUAGCUUCGCUACGGGAGAGAAUGUCUCAUCGUAGUCAAUCCCUUGAACUUGUCGAUAACCCUUAGCGACAAGUCGAGCCUUAUAGAUGGUAACAUUACCAUCCGCGUCCGUCUUCUUCUUAAAAAUCCAUUUGUUUUCUAUCGCUUGCCGAUCAUCGGGCAAGUCUGUCAAAGUCCAUACUUUGUUUUCAUACAUGGAUUCUAUCUCGGAUUUCAUGGCUUCAAGCCAUUUGUUGGAAUCUGGGCCCGCCAUUGCUUCUUCAUAGUUCGAAGGUUCAUUGUUGUCUAACAACAUGAUUUCCAUGAUAGGGUUGCCGUACCACUCUGGUGCGGAACGUGUCCUUGUGGACCUUCGAAGUUCAGUAGCAACUUGAUCCGAAGUACCUUGAUCAUCAUCAUUGGUUUCCUCUUCAGUUGGUGUGGGCAUCACAGGAACAUUUUCCUGAGCUGCACCACUUUCCCGUUCGAGAGGUAGUACUUCAUCGAGUUCUACUUUCCUCCCACUUACUUCUUUCGAGAGAAACUCUUUUUCCAGAAAGCAUCCGUUCUUGGCAACAAAGGUCUUGCCCUCGGAUCUUAAGUAGAAGGUAUACCCGACAGUUUCCUUAGGGUAUCCUAUGAAGACGCAUUUUUCCGACUUGGGUUCGCGCUUUUCAGGUUGAAGUUUCUUGACAUAAGCAUCGCAUCCCCAAACUUUUAGAAACGACAGCUUAGGUUUCUUCCCAAACCAUAAUUCAUACGGUGUCGUCUCAACGGAUUUAGACGGUGCCCUAUUUAAAGUGAAUGUAGCUGUCUCUAGAGCGUAUCCCCAAAAUGAUAGCGGUAAAUCGGUAAGAGACAUCAUAGACCGCACCAUAUCCAAUAGAGUGCGAUUACGACGUUCGGACACACCGUUUCGCUGAGGUGUUCCAGGCGGCGUGAGUUGUGAAACGAUUCCACAUUUCCUUAAGUGUGUGCCAAAUUCGUGACUUAAGUAUUCUCCUCCACGAUCUGAUCGUAGGAAUUUUAUCUUUCGGUCACAUUGAUUCUCCACCUCAUUCUGAAAUUCCUUGAACUUUUCAAAGGUUUUAGACUUGUGUUUCAUUAAGUAAACAUACCCAUAUCUACUCAAGUCAUCAGUAAGAGUGAGAACAUAACGAUAUCCUCCGCGAGCCUCAACGCUCAUUGGACCGCACACAUCAGUAUGUAUGAUUUCCAACAAGUUGGUUGCUCGCUCCAUUGUUCCGGAGAACGGAGUCUUGGUCAUUUUGCCUAAGAGGCAUGGUUCGCAUGUGUCAAAGGAUUCAUAAUCAAGAGACUCUAAAAGUCCAUCAGCAUGGAGCUUCUUCAUGCGCUUGACACCAAUGUGACCAAGGCGGCAGUGCCACAAGUAUGUGGGACUAUCAUUAUCAACUUUACAUCUUUUCGCAUCCACACUAUGAACAUGUGUAAUAUUACGCUCGAGAUUCAUUAAGAAUAAACCAUUGACCAUUGGAGCAUGAUCAUAAAACAUAUCUCUCAUAUAAAUCGAACAACCAUUAUUCUCAGACUUAAAUGAGUAGCCAUAUCGUAUUAAACGAGAUCCAGAUACAAUGUUCAUGCUCAAACUUGGCACUAAAUAACAAUUAUUAAGGUUCAAAACUAAUCCCGUAGGUAAAUGUAGAGGUAGCGUGCCGACGACGAUCACAUCGACUCUGGAACCAUUCCCGACGCGCAUCGUCACCUCGUCCCUUGCCAGUCUUCGUUUAUUCCGCAACUCCUGCUGUGAGUUACAAAUAUGAGCAACAGCACCGGUAUCAAAUACCCAGGAGUUACUAUGAGUACUGGUAAGGUACACAUCAAUUACAUGUAUAUCAAAUAUACCUUUGGUGUUGCCGGCAUUCUUAUCCGCUAAGUAUUUGGGGCAGUUCCGCUUCCAGUGACCCUUCCCCUUGCAAUAAAAGCACUCAGUCUCAGGCUUGGGUCCAUUCUUUGACUUCUUCCCGGCAACUGGCUUACCGGGCGCGGCAACAUCUUUGCCGUCCUUCUUGAAGUUCUUCUUACCCUUGCCCUUCUUGAACUUAGUGGUCUUAUUGACCAUCAACACUUGAUGUUCUUUCUUGAUUUCAGCCUCUGCCAACUUCAGCAUCGAGAACACUUCAGGAAUGGUCUUUACCAUCCCCUGCAUGUUGUAGUUCAUCACAAAGCUCUUGUAGCUUGGUGGGAGCGACUGGAGGAUUCUGUCAAUGACCGCCUCAUCUGGGAGGUUAAUGUUCAGCUGGGUCAUACGGUUGUGCAACCCAGACAUCUUCAGGAUGUGCUCACUGACAGAACUGUUUUCCUCCAUCUUACAACUGUAGAACUUGUCGGAGACAUCAUAUCUCUCGACCCGGGCAUGAGCUUGGAAAAGUAGUUUCAGCUCUUCGAACAUCUCAUAUGCUCCGUGAUGCUCAAAACUCUUUUGGAGCCCCGGUUCUAAGCUGUAAAGCAUGCCGCACUGAACGAGGGAGUAAUCAUCAGCACGAGCUUGCCAAGCGUUCAUAACGUCUUGGUUCUCUGGGACGGGAGCGUCACCUAGCGGUCCUUCUAGGACAUAUUGCUUCCUGGCAGCUAUGAGGAUGAUCCUUAGGUUCCGGACCCAGUCCGUAUAGUUGCUGCCAUCAUCUUUCAGCUUGGUUUUCUCUAGGAACGUGUUGAAGUUCAUGUUGACAUUAGCGUUGGCCAUUGAUCUACAAGACAUAUUUGCAAAGGUUUUAGACUAAGUUCAUGAUAAUAUAGUUCUAAUCAAAUUAUGAACUCCCACUUAGAUUAGACAUCCCUCUAGUCAUCUAAGUGUUACACGAUCCAAGUCGACUAGCCCGUGUCCGAUCAUCACGUGAGACGGACUAGUCAUCGUCGGUGAACAUCUUCAUGUUGAUCGUAUCUUCCAUACGACUCGUGUUCGACCUUUUGGUCUCCGUGUUCCGAGGCCAUGUCUACACAUGCUAGGCUCGUCAAGUUAACCCUAAGUGUUUUCGCUGUGUAAAACUGUCUUACACCCGUUGUAUGUGAACAUAAGAAUCCAUCACACCCGAUCAUCACGUGGUGCUUAGAAGCGACGAACUGUAGCAACGGUGCACAGUUAGGGGAGAACACUUCUUGAAAUUUUGUAAGGGAUCAUCUUAUUUACUACCGUCGUCCUAAGUAAACAAGAUGCAUAAACAUAAUAAACAUCACAUGCAAUUAUAUAGUUGUGACAUGAUAUGGCCAAUAUCAUAAAGCUCCAUUGAUCUCCAUCUUCGGGGCUCCAUGAUCAUCUUGUCACCGGCUUGACACCAUGAUCUCCAUCAUCAUGAUCUCCAUCAUCGUGUCUUCAUGAAUUUGUCACGCCAACGACUACUUCUACUUCUAUGACUAACGUUUAGAAAUAAAGUAAAGUAGUUUACAUGGCGUUCUUCAAUGACACGCAGGUCAUACAAAAAAUAAAGACAACUCCUAUGGCUCCUGCCGGUUGUCAUACUCAUCGACAUGCAAGUCGUGAAUCCUAUUACAAGAACAUGAUCUCAUACAUCACAAUUCAACAUUCAUCACAACUUCUGGCCAUAUCACAUCACAUGAUCAAUCGCUGCAAAAACAAGUUAGACGUCCUCUAAUUGUUGUUGCAUCUUUUACGUGGCUGCGAUUGGGUUCUAGCAAGAACGUUUUCUUACCUACGAAUAACCACAACGUGAUUUUGUCAACUUCUAUUUACCCUUCAUAAGGGCCCUGUUCAUUGAAUCCACUCCAACUAAAGUGGGAGAGACAGACACCCGCCAGCCACCUUAUGCAACUAGUGCAUGUCAAUCGGUGGAACCGGUCUCACGUAAGCGUACGUGUAAGGUUGGUCCGGGCCGCUUCAUCCCACAAUACCGUUGAAGCAAGAAAAGAAUAGUAGAGGCAAGUAAGUUGACAAGAUCCACGCCCACAACAAAUUGUGUUCUACUCGUGCAUUAGAGAACUACGCAUAGACCUAGCUCAUGAUGCCACUGUUGGGGAACGUUGCAGAAAAUUAAAAUUUUUUCUACGGUUUCACCAAGAUCCAUCUAUGAGUUCAUCUAAGCAACGAGUAACGGGAGAGAGUUUGCAUCUACAUACCACUUGUAGAUCACGUGCGGAAGCUUGCAAGGUGAUGAUGUAGUCGUACUCGACGUGAUUCGAAUCACCGAUGACCAAGUGCUGAACGGACAGCACCUCCGCGUUCAACACACGUACGGUACGGGUGACGUCUCCUCCGUCUUGAUCCAGCAAGGAGGAAGGAGAGGUUGAGGAAGACAGCUCCACCGGCAGCACGACGGCGUGGUGAUGGUGGAGAAGCAGUACUCCGACAGGGCUUCGCCGAGCACACAACGGAGGAGGAGAGGUGUUGGGGAGGGGAGGGCUGCGCCUUGGCUUGUGGUGCGGCUGCCCUCCCCUCACCCCUUUAUUUAUAGGGGGAAGGGAGAAGGGGGCCGGCCCCUCUAGAUCCAU